rnacentral:rRNA from 1 species
UGAGGAAUAUUGGGCAAUGCCCGCAAGGGUGACCCAGCAACGCCGCGUGGAGGAUGAAUGUCGUAAGAUUGUAAACUCCUGUUAGAGGGGAAGAAUAGUACCGGUUGGACCGGUAUAUGACUGUACCCUCAGAGAAAGCCCCGGCUAACUACGUGCCAGCAGCCGCGGUAAUACGUAGGGGGCAAGCGUUGUCCGGAUUUACUGGGUGUAAAGGGCGCGCAGGCGGGAUAAAAAGUCAGUGGUGAAGUCCUACAGCUUAACUGUAGAACUGCCUUUGAUACUUUUAUUCUUGAGUUCGGGAGAGAGAGACGGAAUUCCAGGUGUAGUGGUGAAAUACGUAGAUAUCUGGAAGAACACCAGUUGCGAAGGCGGUCUCUUGGUCCGACACUGACGCUGAGGCGCGAAAGCGUGGGGAGCAAACA